AUUGAACGCUGGCGGCGUGCCUAAUACAUGCAAGUCGAACGGAGUGGCGCACGGGUGAGUAAUGUAUAGCUAAACUGCCCUCCACUAGAGGACAACAGUUUGAAACGACUGCUAAUACUCUACAGUGUAGGAUGAGGCUAUAUUGUAUCAGCUAGUUGGUGAGGUAUUGGAUCACCAAGGCUAUGACGCAUAACUGGUCUGAGAGGAUGAGCAGUCACACUGGAACGGAGGCACGGUCCGGGAACCUACGGGAAGGAGCGGUAGGGAAUAGUGGUCAAUGGGGGAAACCCUAAAACAGCAACGGCGCGUGGAGUAUGACACUGUUCGGGGCGUAAACUACUUUUAUUAGUGAAGCGGUACCUAACGAAUAAGCACCGGCUAACUCCGUGCCAGCCGCCGCGGUAAUUC
rnacentral:rRNA from 1 species